AUGGCAGAGACGACUUGGGUGCUAGUCAGACAGGAUUCAACAUCCCAACAGAUGAACACCCACUCCUCGGUUCUUCCACUAGGAUGGUCUCUGAGGGUCAACUCUGAUGUUUCUCCACAAAGCUUGAAUCACGGACCCUGCAACACGGAAUGCAAUUUAUUCCGCCUUCCAGAGACGAAAAGCAUCAAAGCAAGCUUCCGGGAAUUUAAUUUCAGCGUUUGCAUCCAAGUCACCAGGGGCUCAGGAGGCCAGGCGGGACACACUGCCCCGCGCUCGCUCUCGCCUUCUCUCUCUGUCAGAGGUGAAGUGUUCCAUCUAUGUUCCUUGGAAGUCCUGAAGCACCGUGGAGGUUGCACUGGGUCUCCAGCACCCCGUGCCUGCUCUGACCAUGGAAGUCACCAUGUUGGGGGCAAUUGUCUUUUCAUGGGUCUGCCUAUUCCUCCGCCUCCAGCCGCUCCACAAUGA
rnacentral:lncRNA from 1 species